ACCCGCGACCUCCUCCGCCCCGCGCAAGGUGCAGCUGCAGUCAGAGAGCCUCUGCCCCGUGGAGCGGGCCCAGGCGGUGCCGGACUGCUAUGGGCUGUGAGAGACCAGGGCCAGGCUCAGGGAUUUGCUGCGUUGCCAUCUGCUGUGACUUUAUUGCAAACCUCACAACAGCUGGUCUUUGUCUCCUGGAGUCAGCUCAUUACCACAAAAUCUCCGCUUUCAUUUAAAACAACAAAAAAUUUUCUCCAAGGAAAUCGCUCCACAACUCUGUGAUGCAGUCAUAAAAGUCUGUUUUGGUAUCUAAAUCCUAGAAGACUGAAAGACCCUUGAUAAUAAUGCUUCUGAUUGUGCACACACUAAAAUUACUUUAUGAUAUAAUUUAAUGAAUGCAAGCAAACUUUGACAUUGUAUAAUGUAUUGUACAAAAAUAAUAAUAAUGCUUUGCCGUUCUGUAGCACCUUCUGAGACACUCCUAAUCACUUUAUAAACUUUAAUAAAUUAAGCCCCACAAAAGCUGUUUGUGGGAGGUAAACAUUAUCCCCAAAUUACGGCUAGGCAAAUAGCAGCAUAGAGAAGUGACAACUAGGUAAACUGAGGCCUAAAGAGGUUAACUGAAUUUCCCCAAUGUCACAUAGACAGGAAUAGAACCUAAGGACCCUAUUCUCCUCUGCCACCAGAUACAAGUAGCUCCCAUUGACUUCAGUAAGUCAGUAUGACUUUAGUAAGAUUGGAGUGGAUGCUGGAAUGGAAGAAUAGGGUCUUGGGUGUCCCCUCUUCCACUCCAGUCUUCUUUUAACCACCAGACAAAGCUCACACCUAUGUCUCCUUUUAUUCCUUCUCCUUACUGUGCAUUAAUACAUAGUAAAAUGCCAUCUGUUCCUUUUCAGCUUUUUAAAAAGAGAGAACACUAUUUUUCUUCAGUGCAUCCACUAGAUCUUGCUUUGUCUCUCCAGAAUUUUUUUGUUUAUGCAUUCUUACUAGUAGAGUCCUUUAUAGCAGCAGUUUUCAAAAUGUGGGUCAGGCCCCCAAAGUGGGUCACGAUCCCAUUUUAAUGGGGUCACCAAGGCUGGCUUAGACUUGCUGCGGCCCGGUGCUGAAGCCCGAGUUCCACCGCCUGGGGCCAAAGCCCAAGGGCUUCAGCCCUUUGUAGUGGGGCUCAGGUUACAGGCCCCUUGCCUUGGGCUGAAGUCCUUGGGCUUCAGCUUUGGACCCUCCACCCAGACUGGUGGGGCUUUGGCUUUGCCCCACUCCCCACAGGGCGGAGGGAGUUAGGGUGGGCUCAGGCUUCAGUCCCCCCCACCCCCUUGGGGUUGUGUACUAAUUUUUGUUGACAGAAGGGAGUUGUGGUGCAAUGAAGUUUGAGAACCCCUGCUUCAUAGUAUGAGAAGUGUAAUUUAGUUCUUAAAUCCCGUAAUCAUUACCAGAUAUACUGUAUAUAUUUCAGGGCUUCUAGCUGCCCUGUAAAUUGCGCUAGUGGACAGUGUGUCAGUGGAGAGUCAUCCCUAGCUGAACUGUAAUGUUUCAUGUUAUCACCCCAAUGCCAUGUGUUCAUCAAAGAAUAUCAAACUUGUCUGUGAUCUGUUUCUCCUGUGGUAAAGUAGAGACAGGAUAAAUAUACAAAAUGUCUCUCUCAAUCAAAACUGUUCUUUCGGGGAGCCACCUAACAGAAUUUGUCACCAGGGUGAAACCUAGCAAGGAAGAGAAGGAUGGGAGAGAAAUUCAUGGAAUAGUGGGUCUAAUGGCCCUAUAUCCUAUAGUACCUCAGGUUCUGAGGUUUUCACAUUUAACAACAUAGCUUAGAUGCACCUGGAUUUGACUUUGCCUGCUCAUCUGACACUUCUACUGAUUUCUGUUGCCAGAAGAGAGAGAAAGAGACUUUGUCCAAUCAUGGUAUCUCAUGGUAUCUCUUACCAUGAAAAGGAAGCCUUAUUUUUCCUUCUCCUGGUUUUUUCUUUUAUGUGUUUGUCAGGGAAAAUUGCAUGAUAAAACUAAGCUUGUGAGAAAAUUGAGAAUACAUCAGCCUAAUUGAAGAUGGAAAAGCUGUUGUUGUAACCUGCAAUUUUAUGUUAAUAUAGUGUAAUAGAAGGGACCAGGUUAAACUAUGCACAUGGUUAUUAAGGAAUUAAAGCUGAAGGGGUGCAUUUUCACUAGGAACAAAGAUGUGAUCUUACCUUGAAUUAGCUAACACAUUGGAAAAUCUUACUGAAGGUAAGGCAGUUUGUUUAGACAAGUUAGUAGUAGAUCAAGUUAUAAAGACUAUGAGGGAGCCUAUGGUUGACCUGCUAACUUGUGUGAAAACUACAAACUGACUUGUCCUUGCUAAUUUUACCACGUUAGCUAAUUCAAUUUUAAAACAUAUUUUUUUCUUUAGUGAGGACAAGGCCUUAGACUAUGAAAAAGAACCUCAAGUUUUAGCACUAGCUAGGGGUGCAUGAUAUAUAUGUAAUUAACUCAAAUUGUAAAUGGCUACACCUUUUCUAAAGGUGUAGCAAAAGGCACUGCUCAGUGUGUUCCCUCCAGUACCCACAAGCCAGUGCACCCCAGCAUGGCUUUGUCUUAUAAGAGAUACAGGCUGUUAAAAGACCAACUAUAAUGUAACACGAGUGAGACUGAACAGCAUCAAGGUUUGCCAGAGUUUGAUGGAUUUGCAAAUCAAUCACAAACAGAUCCUAACUUCUGCAACUGUCAUCAGAAUUUGUUAGUAUUUACUGAAUAGUUUGGAUGAAUAAUUUUCAAAUUCUAGGUUAUUUGUAACUGCUUGCUUAAAUUAUUUUACUGUUAUUUAUUAAUUGUAUUGUGGUAGCAUCUAGGAGCGCUGAUCAUGGUGCGGGACUCAAUUGUAGGCACCGUACAAUCAGAGAACAUUAAUUACUUGCUAUUAACUUUAGUUAUCUGCUAUUCAUGGUAUGUGUGUAGACAAGUAGUAUAUUUUCUGCUCCCUGAAUGAAUGAGUGAAACUUUUAAAACAGAUGACUAAUGCUCUGUACUCUGCAGUAUAAAUGUUAGUAAGUUGAUUAUUGUAUGUACCCAUUCUUUUCAGUUAUGUUUGCUGAAGGCACUUUCCAAGUUUGAUUGUAGUUGAUAAACUUUACCUUACUAGAUAGUUUACAUUUACUUGACAAAUGUUUUAAAGAUAGUAAACUGAAAUAAAGUGUGUGAUGAAAGACA